rnacentral:misc_RNA from 1 species
UUGAAUAAACUUGGUUGGGUUGCUGCUGGCUCUUAGGAGCAUGUGCACACUCUAUCAUUUUUUAACCACCUGUGCACAUAUUGUAGGCCUGAAUAAACUUUUUUCGAGGAAACUCGGCAUGAGAACUGCUCAGCUGUUCUUGCAUUUCAGGUCUAUGUCUUUAAACAUAUACCCCAUCACAAGUAAUAGAAUGUUAAUCAUAGGCCUUCUGUGCCUUUUGAACCUAAUACAACUUUCAACAACGGAUCUCUUGGCUCUCGCAUCGAU